rnacentral:rRNA from 1 species
GACGAACGCCGGCGGCGUGCUUAACACAUGCAAGUCGAACGGAAAGGCCCUGCUUUUGUGGGGUGCUCGAGUGGCGAACGGGUGAGUAACACGUGAGUAACCUGCCCUUGACUUUGGGAUAACUUCAGGAAACUGGGGCUAAUACCGGAUAGGAGCUCCUGCUGCAUGGUGGGGGUUGGAAAGUUUCGGCGGUUGGGGAUGGACUCGCGGCUUAUCAGCUUGUUGGUGGGGUAGUGGCUUACCAAGGCUUUGACGGGUAGCCGGCCUGAGAGGGUGACCGGCCACAUUGGGACUGAGAUACGGACCAGUCUCCUACGGGAGGCAGCAGUGGGGAAUAUUGCACAAUGGGCGGAAGCCUGAUGCAGCAACGCCGCGUGCGGGAUGACGGCCUUCGGGUUGUAAACCGCUUUCGCCUGUGACGAAGCGUGAGUGACGGUAAUGGGUAAAGAAGCACCGGCUAACUACGUG